GACGAACGCUGGCGGCGUGCCUAAUACAUGCAAGUCGAACGCAGUGGGGACGGGUGAGUCACACGUGGGUAACCUCCCAUCAGAGGGGAUAACACUUGGAAACAGGUGCUAAACCGAUACUGAUGGAUGGACACGCGGUGCAUUAGCUAGUGGGGGAGGAAACGGAUCACCAAGGCCACGAGGCAUACCCGACCUGAGGGUGUGAUCGGCCACACUGGUACUGAGACACGGCCCAGACUCCUACGGGAGGCAGGAGUAGGGAAUCUUCCGCAAUGGACGAAAGUCUGACCGAGCCAAGCCGCGCGGAUGAAGAAGGUGUUCGGAUCGUAAAGCUAUGUUGUUGGAGAAGCGUUAUCUAACCAGAAAGCCACGGCUAACUACGUGCCAGCAGCCGCGGUAAUAC
rnacentral:rRNA from 1 species